GACCUGUUCAAUAUUGGUACAUAUCUCAAGACUGUCCUCCUGAUCUUUGCUGUAGACCAUGCAAGUAAAAUAUAGCCUAAAUGGAAGGAGACCUCCUCCUGCUAACUGUGCUCUUUCGAAGACCCUGACCUGGAGUUACAUGCUGACUGCGGUUCUUUGCUGGAACAGGACCCGCUCUUGAGGUUUCAGUACUGACCGUUGUUCGGCACGCCAAGGGUUUGUCCUGAGAGUCCGGUUCAGAUUUGGAAGUCUAAGAUCUUGAGGCACUGGAGACGGGUGGAUUGAAGGUUGAACUCAGUUGGGACAUGCCCUAUUGGCUUCCAAUGACAAGACGUCACUGACAUAUGGUAUUGUAGAAACACGACCUUGGUGGAUAAGAGGUUGUAAAGACUGUAUGUGAAUUUAGAAACAGCAAUGCCUCUGGAACAGAUGGUGUUCCUGCUGAAGUUCUGAAAGUUGGCAGAGCGGAACUUCAGAAGGCCACAUCUCCCCAACUUAAUGAUCAUCUUCAUGGUCACGGUCACCUUCAAGAAUGGAUAUGAACAUAAUUGCAGUGGAUCUUCUUGGUAUCUGCUUCAGGGUUGAUUGUCAUAAGGAUCCUCCUCAACUGCUUCCUCCCGGGAGAGCCAGCGUGCUCAGUCCAGGUGAGAUCUUCAGUGAUAUGUAUACUGAGGAAAGACACAUCGAUGUCUAUUGGGGUCUCAAAUGCCUUUUUGAAUCCGCUAAUUGACUACUUGUGGUGAACUAUGUGCCUGUCUGGACACGCCCCCUGCUGACUGCUCCUGUGGCUCCUCCCACAGGCCCCUGUAUAAAGGCGAUCUGAGGCCUGACGCUCGGCCUCAGUCUCCAGGUCAUAGUAUGAUGGACACUCACUCCUGGUUCCUUCUUCCAGUCAAUAAA